UACGGGGGGGGCAAGCGUUGUUCGGAAUUACUGGGCGUAAAGGGCUCGUAGGUGGCCAACUAAGUCAGACGUGAAAUCCCUCGGCUUAACCGGGGAACUGCGUCUGAUACUGGAUGGCUUGAGUUUGGGAGAGGGAUGCGGAAUUCCAGGUGUAGCGGUGAAAUGCGUAGAUAUCUGGAGGAACACCGGUGGCGAAGGCGGCAUCCUGGGCCGGUAUUGACGCUGAGGAGCGAAAGCCAGGGGAGCAAACGGG
rnacentral:rRNA from 1 species